CGAUGGAAAAAAUCUUUCUCCUGCAAGAUGUCAAAACUAGACAUUAGCCAAACGGGAUAAUGGCCGCAAACGAAUCUUCACAGUCCCGGAAAAAGCCUUCAAACCCUCAGAAUAAUUGCAUAAGGUGGUGAAUUACAUCAAACGAUCUUCGUGUCAUAUACAAUUUUGCACCAAGAAAAUACCUAUGUCUGCUACUUCCCUUCUCUCUGCUGCAUCAAACCCCGUCUUCCCUUACAAUUCUACAAAAAAUUCAGCACAAUCUCUCUCUUUUCAUCAAUCUAAAGUUAGUUCCGCAAUCUUUUAUAGCCCUUUUAUCAAUGAUAAUAACGCAAAAGUUGAAAAAAUCAGCAGCAGCAGCAGCAGCAUUGUGUAUGAAAACGAGGAUUAUGCUGCAAAAGGUUCACGCUUUCCACAAUCUACUUCAGCCAUAAAAGCGCCCACUGCUCCGUGGAUGAAGGGUCCUCUUCUUGUCGAACCCGAUCGAAUUAUGAAACCUACCAAGUCAAGACCUAGAAAAGAUUCCACCUUAGACAAAAUUGAAGAACACCCUGAUAAGGCUUUGGCUGGUAAAGUGAGUGGUGGAAGAGGGCAAAAGGCCAUGAAGAAAAUCUUUCAAGGCAUUGAGAAACUCCAAGAAACCGAAAAUUUGGAGGAGACUCAGAAGGUCCCGGAAAAUGUUAAAUUCAGAUUUGCACCUGGUGACUUGUGGGGUAAUGCGGACUUUGAGAAUGUUGUAGAAGUUGAGGAAGAUUCAGAGGUGGGCCCAAAAAGUUUUGAAACUACUGAAUUAGAUAUUCCAUUUGGGGAGGUUGAAAAUGAAGGGAUAUUGAAGAAAAUGCCAUGGGAGAGAGAUGAGAAAAUGGUGAUUAGGAGGGUAAAAAGGGAUAAGCAGGUCACCACUGCCGAGUUGGUUCUUGAUGGAGUAUUGCUAAAAAGGUUGCGGGGUCAGGCUGCAAUAAUGAGAAAAUGGGUGAAGGUUAAGAAAGCUGGCGUGACUCAAGCUGUUGUUGAUCAAAUUCAUCUUGUCUGGAAGAACAAUGAACUUGCCUUAAUCAAAUUUGAUCUACCCUUGUGCCGAAAUAUGGAGAGAGCUCGAGAGAUCACUGAGGUUUAUGUCUGUUUACCUUUCCUUACCUUUUCUUUAUCCACUACCAGUCUAUGCUUCUAAAGUGUUCAGUGCUUCAUAUAAGUUGAUUGCUCCAUUUGCUUGAGACAGCAAAAGUAUAAAAUUGAAAAAAAUGACCACAGACGCAUAUUAUUCUUUUUAUCUUAAACUUUAUCGACAAAGUCAGCCCAUAAGUCUUCAGUCCUGGUAUUUUAGAAAACUUCAAGUUGUACCUUGUGUUCCUAGCUGCAUUUGUUAUGUACAAGGCACAAACUGAAUAAUUGAAUUGUUCCUCUGAUAUAACGACUUUUUCACUUAAAAAAGGCCUAUGCUUUUCUGUUUAUAUGAUUUAAGUCAUUUCCUAGAAUAGCACCAAAGUAGGGCAGGGUAUCCAUGACAACCAAAAUUUUUUUUGUUGCGGCUUUUACAAAACAGCUGGAUUUACUCCAAACAGCAACUGUACAUAUGACCUUGAAGAGUUAUGAAGUUAUAAUUUGUUCAUGUACGAUUUAUGCAGAUACUAGUUCUCAAAUCUUAUUCCAUAUGAGUUGUAGAUACUCUUCUGACCUUGUCUGUGAUCAAUUUUUAACAUGAUUGUUGCUUUGUUCUUCCCACUGUAACAUCCCAAUCCAGUUGGAAAGAUGGCCUUUCCAAAAGUGCAUCAAGUUUUCAGCAAUCCUCUUACCUUUAGAGCAUUUAGCGAGUGUAAAAAUAAUUUUAAUGAUGUCCAAAUAUGUUCUCCCUUAGUUGCUGUUAUCUUUGUUAUUUCCCUUUCAUCUUACCUUAACGUCCUUGUUCUUUCCUUAAAAUAUUUUUUUAGUUGUGGCCCUGAUAUUGUAGUAUUCCUCUAAUCAGAUGAAGACUGGAGGCCUUGUUGUAUGGAAUAAGGAAGAUUUUCUUGCUGUAUAUAGAGGUUGCAACUAUGUACCAUACUCAAGAAAUUAUUCGAAUAUCAGUCACAAGUCAGUUAGUGAUCAAGAAAAUCUAUCCUCAAAUAUGAGUUACCAAAAUACCUGUCAUUUCUCUCUAAUAACAUCAAGUGGAAGUAGUCAAUACAAAAUAAAUGAUGGGAUAGAAGGUGAUUGGGAAAACUUACAUAUCAAUAUAUCACUGUAUGAAAGAGAAGCAGAUAGAUUAUUGUACGGAUUAGGACCACGCUUCGUUGAUUGGUGGAUGCCAAAGCCUUUGCCGGUGGAUGCAGACUUGCUCCCAGAAGUUGCUCCUGGAUUCAAGCCAUCUUUUAGGCUUUGUCCACCUCGCACAAGAUCAAAACUGACAGAUGCUGAACUUACAUAUUUGAGGAAACUUACUCACCCUUUACCAACUCAUUUUGUCCUUGGUAUUUUCCUUUCCUUUGUCACUGCACUAUAACAAUAUCAACUGAACUAUUAGAAUUAUCUCUUCU
rnacentral:lncRNA from 1 species